AUAGUGAUGUCGCGAACCGUUCGCAAACUUGCCGUGAACGGUUCGCCGCAGUUCGCGGCGAACUCCGGUCAGCUGACACAUCCCUGCCAAUCUCCGGCAGACCCUCCCUCCUAGACCUUCCCACCUCCUGGACAGCCUUCUUUCUGAGUUUAGCUCAACUAAGUUAACCAAAACAGGAAGUAACAGGACUGGUUGUUUGAUUGGCAGCCAAGAGGGUGUCACCAGGUUAAUUCACA